AUUGAACGCUGGCGGUAUGCUUAACACAUGCAAGUCGAACGGUAACAGGCCUUCGGGCGAUGACGAGUGGCGGACGGGUGCGUAACGCGUAGGAAUCUGCCUGUUAGUGGGGGACAACGUGGGGAAACUCACGCUAAUACCGCAUACGACCUACGGGGGAAAGAGGGGGACCUUCGGGCCGAGCGCUUACAGAUUGGCCUGCGUUGGAUUAGCUAGUUGGUAGGGUAAAGGCCUACCAAGGCGACGAUCCAUAGCUGGUCUGAGAGGACGAUCAGCCACACUGGGACUGAGACACGGCCCAGACUCCUACGGGAGGCAGCAGUGGGGAAUAUUGGACAAUGGGCGCAAGCCUGAUCCAGCAAUACCGCGUGUGUGAAGAAGGCCUGAGGGUUGUAAAGCACUUUCAAUGGGGAGGAAUACCUGGUGGCGAAUACCCAUCAGACUGACAUUACCCAUACAAGAAGCACCGGCUAACUCCGUGCCAGCAGCCGCCGUAAGAC
rnacentral:rRNA from 1 species